CAAGUCGAGCGGUAAGGCCCUUCGGGGUACACGAGCGGCGAACGGGUGAGUAACACGUGAGCAACCUGCCCCUGACUCCGGGAUAAGCGGUGGAAACGCCGUCUAAUACCGGAUACGACCCGUGGUCUCCUGGCCGCGGGUGGAAAGUUUUUUCGGUCGGGGAUGGGCUCGCGGCCUAUCAGCUUGUUGGUGGGGUAACGGCCUACCAAGGCGAUUACGGGUAGCCGGCCUGAGAGGGCGACCGGCCACACUGGGACUGAGACACGGCCCAAACUCCUGCGGGAGGCAGCAGUGGGGAAUAUUGCGCAAUGGGCGAAAGCCUGACGCAGCGACGCCGCGUGGGGGAUGACGGCCUUCGGGUUGUAAACCUCUUUUACCACCAACGCAGGCUCCCGGUUCUCCGGGGGUUGACGGUAGGUGGGGAAUAAGGACCGGCUAACUACGUGCCAGCAGCCGCGGUAAUACGUAGGGUCCGAGCGUUGUCCGGAAUUAUUGGGCGUAAAGAGCUCGUAGGCGGCGUGUCGCGUCUGCUGUGAAAGACCGGGGCUUAACUCCGGUUCUGCAGUGGAUACGGGCAUGCUAGAGGUAGGUAGGGGAGAC
rnacentral:rRNA from 1 species